rnacentral:rRNA from 1 species
GACGAACGCUGGCGGCGUGCCCAAUACAUGCAAGUCGAACGCAGGGGGGACGGGUGAGUAACACGUGGGUAACCUCCCAUCAGAGGGGAUAACACUUGGAAACAGGUGCUAAACCGUGAUUGAUGGAUGGACCCGCGGUGCAUUAGCUAGUUGGUGAGGUAACGGCUCACCAAGGCCACGAGGCAUAGCCGACCUGUAAGUGUGAUCGGCCACACUGUGACUGAGACACGGCCCAGACUCCUACGGGAGGCAGCAGUAGGGAAUCUGCGGCAAUGGACGAAAGUCUGAACGAGCAACGCCGCGUGAGUGAAGAAGGUUGUCGGAUCGUAGAACUCUGUUGUUAGAGAAGCGGUAUCUAACCAGAAAGCCACGGCUAACUACGGGCCAGCAGCCGCGGUAAUUC